rnacentral:rRNA from 2 species
UACGUAGGCAGCAAGCGUUGUUCGGAGUUACUGGGCGUAAAGGGUGUGUAGGCGGUUGUUUAAGUUUGGUGUGAAAUCUCCCGGCUCAACUGGGAGGGUGCGCCGAAUACUGAAUGACUAGAGUGUGGGAGAGGUGAGUGGAAUUCCUGGUGUAGCGGUGAAAUGCGUAGAUAUCAGGAGGAACACCGGUGGUGUAGACGGCUCACUGGACCAUAACUGACGCUGAGACACGAAAGCGUGGGUAGCAAACAGG